rnacentral:rRNA from 1 species
GACGAACGCUGGCGGCGUGCUUAACACAUGCAAGUCGAGCGGUAAGGCCCUUUCGGGGGUACACGAGCGGCGAACGGGUGAGUAACACGUGGGUGACCUGCCCUCAGCUCUGGGAUAAGCCUGGGAAACCGGGUCUAAUACUGGAUAUGACUCCAUGACGCAUGUUGUGGGGUGGAAAGCCUUGUGCGGCUGAGGAUGGGCCCGCGGCCUAUCAGCUUGUUGGUGGGGUGAUGGCCUACCAAGGCGACGACGGGUAGCCGGCCUGAGAGGGCGACCGGCCACACUGGGACUGAGACACGGCCCAGACUCCUACGGGAGGCAGCAGUGGGGAAUCUUGGACAAUGGGCGCAAGCCUGAUCCAGCCAUGCCGCGUGGAUGAUGAAGGCCCUAGGGUUGUAAAAUCCUUUCGUUGGGGACGAUAAUGACGGUACCCAAAGAAGAAAGCUCCGGCUAACUUCGUGCCAGCCGCCGCCGU